GAGAGAGAGAGAGAGAGGCAAUAAUGGGGAAGAAAGCCGCUUAUGUCAUUGCAUCAUCUGCCUCUCGGCAACCCUCUUCUUUGUGGCAGUCUAUCGUAAGAGUCGGUGCUGCUCGUCUGGGCUGGCCACACUCCUUUCCUGAUCCCAAGGAUUCUCGUGAUACAGAAAAAGAGAAGGAGAAGCAACCCAUGGUCGGAGGAGAUCAAUUGCUUGUAUUGGACAAAACUCGCGGGCCGACAAAGCCAAACCCAAGUGAAGGGCAAGGAGGCAAAAUCAACUGAUCAGUGUCAAACAUGAAAGAUCGCUAAUUGGCUUUUGCAUGUGAAUUGUUAUGUAAUGCAUGAUAAGUAUGUGUACAUUUUGAAGGUUUGUUGAUCACAAAGUUCAAUGUUUUGUGUGUUCAUGAAGUUGAAGUAGAUGAACUUUUGGGUGCUUCCUUUAA